rnacentral:rRNA from 1 species
UUUGUUUUUUAAUUAAAAACUAGAAUGAAAGGUUAUACAUUCAAAUUUCUUUAUUAAUUUUUAAUAAAUAAUUUAUAUUAAAUAUAAAAAUAUAUUUAUAAAAAAAAAAGACGACAAGACCCUAUUAAAUUUUACUUAUAGUUUAGCUGGGGAAGCUUUUCAAUUAAAAUUUUUUAAUUUAAAUAAAUAAAAAUCUAAUAAAAUUAAAAUUUUAAUAAAUUACUAUAGGGAUAACAGCAUUAUAUUUUUUAAAAGUUCAUAUUAAAAAAAAUGAUUGUGACCUCGAUGUUGAAUUAUAUUUUCUAUAUUAAAUGCAAUAAUUAUAAAAGUAGAUCUGUUCGAUCUUUAAAAUAUUACAUGAUUUGAGUUCAAACCGGUGUAAACCAGGUUGGUUUCUAUCUUUUUAUACAUUUUUCUAGUACGAAAGGACAAAAAAAUUUUUAUUUUAAUAAAUUAGCAAAUAAAUGCAUUAGAUUUAGAAUCUAAAUACAAUUAAUA